UAACGUCCUUCUUGUUCAGUUUGUGGCGCCGAAACCAGGUGCGUUCUGUAUUCGAGGUUUGUGUCACAAUAUACAAGGUGUAACUAGAACGCCAACAAAGACUGCGCCUUGUUAAUAUACUACCUAAACACAAUCCAAUGCCAGUAACCUUAAUAAGUUAAUUGCUUUAUUUUGUAGUUUUAGUGAUUUAGUACUUUCAAACCUGCAAUGUAUAGCGUGCAAAAUUAGAGUCAAUGCCCUACCUGCGGCGAUUGACUCUGAGUGGCCUACUUACGCAACGUUCGUUAACCUCUAGCAUGAGUCAGAUUUUAUAAAUAAAUACCCAUACUA